rnacentral:rRNA from 1 species
UACAGAGGUCUCAAGCGUUGUUCGGAUUCAUUGGGCGUAAAGGGCGCGUAGGCGGCACGGCAAGUCGGGAGUGAAAGCCCGGGGCUCAACCCCGGAACGGCUCUCGAAACUGCCGAGCUAGAGUGCGGAAGGGGCAACUGGAAUUCCCAGUGUAGCGGUGAAAUGCGUAGAUAUUGGGAAGAACACCUGAGGCGAAGGCGGGUUGCUGGGCCGACACUGACGCUGGGGCGCGAAGGCCAGGGGAGCAAACGGG